UUGGCGAACGGGUGAGUAACGCGUGAGUAACCUGCCCUGGAGUGGGGGACAACAGUUGGAAACGACUGCUAAUACCGCAUAAGCCCACGAUCCGGCAUCGGAUUGGGGGAAAAGGAUUUAUUCGCUUCAGGAUGGACUCGCGUCCAAUUAGCUGGUUGGUGAGACAACGGCCCACCAAGGCGACGAUUGGUAGCCGGACUGAGAGGUUGAACGGCCACAUUGGGACUGAGACACGGCCCAG
rnacentral:rRNA from 1 species